UUCAUUUCUCAUUUUUAUUUAUUUAACCCUUAUGUAGAUUUUUUUCAAAACUGUGGAAUAUAACUUAGUUUUUUUCUCUAUGAUCGACUACUACUGUAGUACAAUUACAUCGGGAUCGAAGUCGGGCUCGAAAAGCAAUUAAUUUGAAAACAACACACCGCGCCGAAAUUCAAUUUCUUGGAGAGUUCCACGCAGCCAUGUUGAACUUGAUCAUGAUGUUGUACGGGGCGAAAGAGAGUGACACGAAAAGGAGAAGCAUGAUUAGCUUUGGAUGUAAUUUCUGUUUCAACAGAAGAUGAAGACAUUUACGACCCUGUUUAGCGGUAGGAACAAUGUACAAAAUUUUAUCAUGUGUCCUUGAAUGAAUAAUUGCACCUGCUACUGAUAAUGUUACUGUUCCUUAGUCUGGGCACUACACAUAAAAUGCCUGGCAGUAAAAACGUUUGGGCAAGCGCUAUUUAAAUUUCGUAAUAAUUUUUUAACACUUUUAAUUAUCUCUCUUAAAGAUGGAUUUUAACCAGAAUUUUCUCGUUUGGUAUUGGUUUCAGAAUUUUAGUCACUAAAGUGUUCCUCUGUUCAGAAUUUACAGAGUAUGUUGUACAAUGUAAUAAAAUAUUUAUUUAUUUCUUAUGCAUACUCAAGAAUAUAUUCAGCACUUAUUUUGAUUAUUUAAAUAGUUGCAGUGGACUGUGCCUGAGAGGAUUCCCCACAUCGCCGGCUAUGUAGACAGCUUGUGAAAAUGAAAUUGUGCCAGAAAAGUUUGAAGUAGCUAUGGGAAUGACCAACAUUGAACUUGCUGAGCCUUCCUUCUGAAAGUGACUUGACCAGAUAUUUGGCUACCCAGUAUGAGUAUCUUUCUGCUACAUUAAAAUAAAUAUUGUGGAGGAAAACAAAGAAAAGGGCUGUGCAUCUCAACAUAUUCAAGGUCAAGCAGGUAAAUACAUUGGUAAAUUGCUCCAAAAAAAAUGGCAAAAAGUCACCAGUCUCCAAUUUACAUGUACUUCCACAAAAUCUGUAGCUUGCUGCUGUGAAACUAUAGAUACGUAUGUCUUAAUAUAUUAAAUGCUGUAAAUGCUAUUAUUUUCAUUUUUGUAAACUUUGUAAAUCUUCAAAUUCCAUGUGUUCGGACUACGGUACCAUUAUGUAUGUUUCAUAUCAUAU